GGAUGUAAGGUGAUCUGGUUGCAACAUCUGUCACCCCAUUGAUUGCCAGCAUAUUGGCCGAUCUGGCAAAUUAGAUGAGUAUCUCCUUCUUCCCUCAUGUCUCCAUGUAUGUCCCCAGAAGCUGUACACUUGAUUAAAAAGGAAGACCUUCCUAAUAGAGGAGGACCAUUCUUUGGUCAAGGUUAUAUGAGUAGCUGUGCUACCCUGCUAGAACCUCCAAACAAGCUCUCAAGGUCCAUUUGUAAGAGAACGUAGGGUAGUCAAACUUCGAAGACUCCAGACAUAUCUAAAUGAGACACUGCAUGUGGCAGUCUGCCUUUCUUA
rnacentral:snRNA from 1 species